GGAGGUCCCCCACACUGCUGCCACACUGUCCUGUCAGGGGUGGGGGAUGAGGGAUGUGUUGGUUUCUGGGGCCUCAAUCAGGGAGUAGUGCUCUAUUUCACAUGAAAAGAAAAAAAAUAGAACCUGCUUGUCACACCAAGAAGCUGGUCACCAUUUAGGUGCUGGACCUUCCUCCUUCAGUUACCUCAGACCUAGAGGGUGGGAAUUUAAAACACUGUUUAUCUUUUGUCCUAUCCCUGUAAGGAAAGCUCCACUCUUCCAGGGGGUCCUGCUUUUUCACAGGAAUUGUUUGCCACAUCCAAUCACCACUCUCUGAGGGAUAGCUUCUGGAGAAUGCAGCUUCUCUAGGAUCUCAGGAGGACUUCUGCUCUGAGUGGCCUAAUGCCUAUCUUCUCCAGGGGCAGCUCUUCGUUUUGUGGCCAGAAGGUCUGAGGCACCAUUUGGCAUUGAGACGGCGUGGAGGUGAUCCACAGAGAGAAAGAGGAUCUCCUAAACACAGGCCAGAGCCCUCUGGAAAGUACCCAGCUGGCACCAUGACAGACUCCCAAUGAGAAAAAUAAGUACUACUCUGAAAAAAAUCUGUUUUUGAUGAGACAUCCAGAGCUCUGUUGCAGCAAAAGUUAACCUCUUGCGUACCUGAAGGGACUUCUGAACAGAGGAUGGAAGAAGAACAGCAGUGGGGAAGUUCAAGGUUACCUCAGAAGAGAAAAAAGUUAGCAGAACGCAGGAGACAGAGAUAUGUCAAGCUGGUGGCACCUUAUCAGGUUGACAGAAAAGGAAAAGCCUCUUCCUCAUGUGAUACAGAUCAGAAGAGAUUCAAAUGUGAAUGCCGCUACUGCCAGAGGUAUAUGGGGAACACUUCUGGGAUCUCAACAGGGAAGGGGAAGAAAGCAAUCUCUCAUUCCUCUUCCUGGGAUAAGCUAAUACAAGAACUCAAUAGCUUGACGCUCAACCCUGCUGCCAUCCAACCCCCUCUUCUACAAGAAAGGGCACAGGAAAGAGAGGAGAAGAGCCAAAAACAGAGACAGCAGAACAGCAAAAGGAUGUUUCAGAGGCUCCUGCGAGAAUGGGCAGAAUAACUCUGAGACUGCCAUCCUCAAGUGAAGGAAGAUCAAAACAUAUGGGGUCAUGAGUGUCAACAAUGCCAACUCCUUGAGCAGAAUCCUUUUCAAAAUAUGAUCAGGAGGAGUAAUAGUAUCCAGCCUUAUGACAAUACCAUCAGCUGGCAAUUCAAUCCAAUUCUGGAAACAUAGCAAUCUUUCCUCCAAUACUUUGGCAUUACACUGUGGUAUGCUAGAAGGAGUUGCUCUUUGGCAAGGGCAACCAGGUACCAAUGGUUCUAUAUGCUUGGUAAUACUGUUCCAUGGUGCAAGCUGUCAUUCCCCGCCCCCUCAGGUUUCAGCCUUUCUUCCCUUGUUGCCAGUAGGUAUAAAGUAUCUGUGCAGUA